rnacentral:rRNA from 1 species
GCAAGUCGAGCGAAUCGAUGGGAGCUUGCUCCCUGAGAUUAGCGGCGGACGGGUGAGUAACACGUGGGCAACCUGCCUAUAAGACUGGGAUAACUUCGGGAAACCGGAGCUAAUACCGGAUACGUUCUUUUCUCGCAUGAGAGAAGAUGGAAAGACGGUUUACGCUGUCACUUAUAGAUGGGCCCGCGGCGCAUUAGCUAGUUGGUGAGGUAAUGGCUCACCAAGGCGACGAUGCGUAGCCGACCUGAGAGGGUGAUCGGCCACACUGGGACUGAGACACGGCCCAGACUCCUACGGGAGGCAGCAGUAGGGAAUCUUCCGCAAUGGACGAAAGUCUGACGGAGCAACGCCGCGUGAACGAAGAAGGCCUUCGGGUCGUAAAGUUCUGUUGUUAGGGAAGAACAAGUACCAGAGUAACUGCUGGUACCUUGACGGUACCUAACCAGAAAGCCACGGCUAACUACGUGCCAGCAGCCGCGGUAAUACGUAGGUGGCAAGCGUUGUCCGGAAUUAUUGGGCGUAAAGCGCGCGCAGGUGGUUCCUUAAGUCUGAUGUGAAAGCCCACGGCUCAACCGUGGAGGGUCAUUGGAAACUGGGGAACUUGAGUGCAGAAGAGGAAAGUGGAAUUCCA